rnacentral:rRNA from 1 species
GCGGCGGACGGGUGAGUAACACGUGGGCAACCUGCCUGUAAGACUGGGAUAACUUCGGGAAACCGAAGCUAAUACCGGAUAGGAUCUUCUCCUUCAUGGGAGAUGAUUGAAAGAUGGUUUCGGCUAUCACUUACAGAUGGGCCCGCGGUGCAUUAGCUAGUUGGUGAGGUAACGGCUCACCAAGGCAACGAUGCAUAGCCGACCUGAGAGGGUGAUCGGCCACACUGGGACUGAGACACGGCCCAGACUCCUACGGGAGGCAGCAGUAGGGAAUCUUCCGCAAUGGACGAAAGUCUGACGGAGCAACGCCGCGUGAGUGAUGAAGGCUUUCGGGUCGUAAAACUCUGUUGUUAGGGAAGAACAAGUACGAGAGUAACUGCUCGUACCUUGACGGUACCUAACCAGAAAGCCACGGCUAACUACGUGCCAGCAGCCGCGGUAAUACGUAGGUGGCAAGCGUUAUCCGGAAUUAUUGGGCGUAAAGCGCGCGCAGGCGGUUUCUUAAGUCUGAUGUGAAAGCCCACGGCUCAACCGUGGAGGGUCAUUGGAAACUGGGGAACUUGAGUGCAGAAGAGAAAAGCGGAAUUCCACGUGUAGCGGUGAAAUGCGUAGAGAUGUGGAGGAACACCAGUGGCGAAGGCGGCUUU